rnacentral:pre_miRNA from 1 species
AGAUGUGCUCUCCUGGCCCGUGAAAUCAAGCGUGGGUGAGACCUGGUGCAGAACGGGAAGGCGACCCAUACUUGGUUUCAGAGGCUGCGAGAAUA